AUGUGAAUUCGGAAGAAGAAAGGGGGCAUGGGGUAUAGAUACCUUCACAGUUUCAAUCUUGCUAUCUUAGCAAAGCAGUGCUGGCAACUACUCUAGAACUAGGACUCUUUAUGUGCACGUGUGUUGAGUGUUAAAUACCCAGAUGGAAAUAUUUUGCAAGCUGGACCAAAGAAGGGAUCAUCAUACACUUGGCAGAGUAUUGUUGCGGGUAUUCAAACUUUCAAAAGGGGAUGUAUAUGGAGAGUGGGGAUAAGUUCACAAAUAAAUAUGUGGCAAGAUCUUUGGAUCCCUUCAAGUGCAACCAGGAAAAUUAUUACACCAAGGGGUACAACUAUGAUGACAAAAGUUGAAGAAUUGAUCGACCCGCACUUAGGGAAAUGGGAUGAACUACUCAUGCGUGAUGUUUUCUCUCCCAUUGAUGUUCAACGUAUUCUGCAAAUUUCAUUAAAUGUUCAAGUCAUUGAAGACUUUGUCGCCUGGAACUAUACUCGCUCGGGAUCCUUUUCAGUUCGAUCGGCUUACCAUAGAGAAUUUGAUCAUCAAUAUGAGGUCGUCUGA
rnacentral:rRNA from 1 species